GUCUAUAAGCAGAUCACUUGGUCUGUAGCAGGUCACUGGGUCUGUAGUAGGUCACUGGGUCUGUAGUAGAUCCCUGGGUCUGUAGCAGGUCACUGGGUCUGUAGUAGGUCACUGGGUCUGUAGUAGAUCCCUGGGUCUGUAGCAGGUCACUGGGUCUGUAGCAGAUUCCUGGGUCUGUAGUAGGUCACUGGGUCUGUAGUAGAUCACUGGGUCUGUAGUAGAUCCCUGGGUCUGUAGCAGGUCACUGGGUCUGUAGUAGAUCACUGGGUAUGUAGCUGGUCACUGGGUCUGUAGCAGAUCACUGGGUCUGUAGCAGGUCACUGGGUCUGUAGCAGGUCACUGGGUCUGUAGUAGAUCCCUGGGUCUGUAGCAGAUCCCUGGGUCUGUAGCAGAUCCCUGGGUCUGUAGUAGAUCCCUGGGUCUGUAGCAGGUCACUGGGUCUGUAGUAGAUCACUGGGUCUGUAGCAGGUCACUGGGUCUGUAGUAGAUCACUGGGUCUGUAGCAGAUCACUGGGUCUGUAGCAGGUCACUGGGUCUGUAGUAGAUCACUGGGUCUGUAGCAGAUCCCUGGGUCUGUAGUAGAUCCCUGGGUCUAUAGCAGAUCCCUUGGUCUGUAGUGGGUCACUGGGUCUGUAGCAGAUCACUGGGUCUGUAGCAGAUCACUCGGUCUGUAGCAGAUCACUCUGUCUAUAAGCAGAUCGCUCGGUCUGUAGCAGGUGGUUACUCUGACUGACAGAGGAAGCACGCUGUGGGGCAGGCACGUGGCUC